rnacentral:rRNA from 1 species
AGAGUUUGAUCAUGGCUCAGGACAAACGCUGGCGGCGUGCGUAACACAUGCAAGUCGGACGAGGUAGAUCUCUUCGGGGGUUUAUCGAGUGGCGGACGGGUGAGUAACACGUGGAUGACCUGCCCAGAGAUGGGGGACACCGCGCAGAAAUGCGCGCUAAGACCGCAUGAGCUGGCCGGCGGCGACGCUGGUCAGGAAAGCUUUUCGGAGCGUCUUUGGAGGGGUCCGCGGCCGAUUAGCUAGUUGGUGGGGUAAGAGCCUACCAAGGCGUCGAUCGGUAGCUGGUCUGAGAGGAGGAUCAGCCACACUGGGAUUGAGAACGGCCCAGACUCCUACGGGGGCAGCAGUGAGGAAUCUUCGGCAAUGGGCGCAAGCCUGACCGAGCAACGCCGCGUGGAGGAUGACGGCCUUCGGGUUGUAAACUCCUUUUCUUUGGAACGAGAACGGACGGUACCAGAGGAAGAAGUCUCGGCUAACUACGUGCCAGCAGCCGCGGUAAUAC